rfam:Ixodes scapularis strain Wikel colony gcontig_1107729016146, whole genome shotgun sequence.
UUCUAAAAAGAUGGAGACUGAGAGCUCUUUCUGGAUUCGGUGGAUGGUGGUGCAUGUCCGUCUUCGUGGAGUGAUUCGUCUGAUUAGUUCCGGUAACGAACGAGACUCCAGCCCAUUAAAUAGGUGCGUAAUUCUUUGCACCUUGCACCCUUGCUAGAGGGACAAGAGGAUCCUAGCCGCACGAAACAGAGAAAUAACAGGUCUCUAAUGCCCUUAGAU